rnacentral:rRNA from 1 species
GUGGGGAAUAUUAGGCAAUGGGGGAAACCCUGACCUAGCAACGCCGCGUGAAGGAUGAAGGUCUUCGGAUUGUAAACUUCUUUGGCCCGGGACGAUAAUGACGGUACCGGGAGAACAAGCCACGGCUAACUACGUGCCAGCAGCCGCGGUAAUACGUAGGUGGCAAGCGUUGUCCGGAUUUACUGGGUGUAAAGGGCGAGUAGGCGGGGAUGCAAGUCAGAUGUGAAAUACCGAGGCUUAACUUCGGAGCUGCAUUUGAAACUGCAUUUCUUGAGUGAUGGGGAGGCAGGCGGAAUUCCCGGUGUAGCGGUGAAAUGCAUAGAGAUCGGGAGGAACACCAGUGGCGAAGGCGGCCUGCUGGACAUUAACUGACGCUGAGGCGCGAAAGUGUGGGGAGCAAACAGGAUUAGAAACCCCGGUAGUCC